AGAAUCGUCGAUAAAUACAAAAUUUUAAACAAAGAAAACUAGAGAAGAUUCAUGAGUUUUAGUCAGUACUGAGUUCGGUCAAAUAAUUAGACCGUCGUGAGACAGGUUAGUUUUACCCUACUGAUAACUAGUCAUUGCGAUAAUAAUCCUGCUCAGUACGAGAGAAACCGCAGGUCCGGACAUUUGGUUCACGCACUCGGUCGAGCGGCCGGUGGUGCGAAGCUACCAUCCGUGGGAUUAUGCCUGAACGCCUCUAAGGCCGUAUCCUCUCUAGUCAAAGGUGGCAAUGAUAUCUCUAGGAGUCUCGUGAGUCAAAAGGCUCAAAACAAUGUGACACUACUAGGCGGUCGGUCCACGGACCGGUCGUCGCACGAGCCCGGUUUGCCGUACGGCGCCAUGGCCCGUCGUCGGGAUCUCACCGCUACGACGGCACGGCAUUUAACGAUCGAACAUGAGUUUCGCGAGUUCGAUGUCGAGACUCGGAAUCGUCUGUAGAUGACUUAGGUCCCAUUAUUU
rnacentral:ncRNA from 1 species